GCGAGAGUGGCGGAACUGGCAGACGCGCUGGACUUAGGAUCCAGUGGGCGAAAUCCCUUGGGGGUUCGACUCCCCCCUCUCGCACCA
rnacentral:tRNA from 1 species